rnacentral:lncRNA from 1 species
UCACGCCGUUGCCGUGGAGGCAGAAAAGACAACGCAAUAAAGCCUGUUGCCUGCAUCUCCCGUUAGCAAGAGACAUACCGGCAGACCAUCAUCAGUAUGAAGUCCUACGUCAUCUUGGCACUCGUCAUCCUGGGGCAUCUCUGCCAAAUUCACGCAGCCACGCUGAGCAAGCCGGCAAAGAACACGGACGACGCA